rnacentral:snoRNA from 1 species
CCAAUGUUGACAUCCAGGGAUCUUGGAUCUCCUUGUUUCUCUGGCUCUGUCUUUGUGGCGAACGGGAGCUGAACGCCCCACCCUGGGGCUUGAGGUGUAUUCCCUUUCCACAACAUUGGAGAGAAACCCGGUCCCCUGAUUUCAUCGGGUGUGGACCGGAUCCUGCAUAUUCCAUAACCUUCCCAGAGUCACACUGACAGUUACUGGGGAGAUAAGCCAUGCAGGGUACAGAU